CUGAGUCGAAUGAUCCACCUGCCUCAGCCUCCCAAAGCGCUGGGAUUACAGGCGUCAGCCCCUGCACCCGGCCCCAGCAGUACAAUCUGGUAACUCGAAAAAGAACUGGCACCUCAUGAAAACAGAGAAACGGCCAAUGAACUGAAAAGACGCUCAGCCUUAGCAGACCCAGGAGUUGGUGUGAUGAAAUAUUCAGCGUUGUAAACAGUGUGCACACAAACACGUAUGUCUCAAGUGUGUACUUGUUCCGCCUGCCUGGCUGGUGAGAGAACAGCAGCCUUUGGAAAGCAGACGGUGAUCUUCGAUAAGAGGCUGGACCACUUGCUGGAAAACCUUCAAAACAGGAAGCGGCCACUAGACGCAAGUCACAUUCCUGCUGGAGGCUGGACGUGAUCCCCCAGGUCUUUAGAUAAACUCAACCAAUUGUCAACCAGAAAGUGUUUGAAUUCACCUAUGGCCUAGAAGUCCCGCUUUGAGUUAUCCCAGCUUUCUGGACCAAACCAAUGUAUUUCUUCAAUGUAUUUGAUUGAUGUCUCAUGCCCCUGUAGAAGGUAUAAAACCGGGCCACCUGGGACACAUGUUCUCAGACCCUCCUGAGGUUGUGUCACAGGCCAUGGUCACUCAUGUUUGGCUCAGAAUAAAUCUCUUCAAAUAUUUUACAGAGUUAGACUCUUUUCAUCGACAACAUUAAUGCCUCAAAACAGAAAAAGGCCAGGCAUGGUGUCUCACUCUUAGACUCCCAACACUGGAGGAUCACUUGAGGCCAG